GUGCUCACUUCAGUAGCACAUGUACUAAAAAUGGAAUGAUACAGAGAAGAUUAGCAUGGCCCCUACACAAGGACAACACACAAAUUCAUGAAGCAUUCCAUAUUUUU